AGAAAAUGUCAUGGGGAAAAGCUGGUGGGGUUCAAGGUCAAAGACUGGGCUCACCGCUGAGCCGCCAGGCCCUUCUGCCCCACCCUCUUUCUCCCACAGCUGAGGCUUGUGAACAAAUCUGAACAAAUCUGAGGCAGUAGGCUCCAGGUGAAACCAAGCAACUCUGACUGGGACUUGAAUGCACUUGUCUUUUAGUCAAAAUUGCUCCUCUUGAGUCAGGACUUACUGAAGCUCAGGCUCUCUGUUUGCAGAAAGAGUUCAGUGAGAGACAAACUGAUAGGGAAGAAGUGGAUUUAUUAAAAGAGAUACAUAGUCCACAGACAGAGUGUGCUCCAUCUCAAUGCCCCAGGAUCUGGGAUCGUCUUGGAAAGUGAGAGCGGCCCUGGGAGAAACAUACUGCAAAGACAGAACCCAGACUGUCUCAGAAGGCAGAGAAAGGUGCUACCAAAGCUCCACCCUUGUUGCCCUAUUUCCCACACUGUGGCCCCCACAGAUAAGCUGUUUGGGAUGCAACAGCACCAUCAGCAGGUGGGCUAAAUCAGCUGAACUCUCACCACAGAGUGCUGCUGUUGCUGCAGCAGGAUGCAGAACACAAGGCUACCAUCAACAAAAACAGGGAAGAGCUGUUCUGCCAGAGAGUGACGGAGAGAACUGGAGCUGUAGAUGGGACAGCCGAGCUUCACCAUCGAGUUAAAUACCCGCAGAUCAUUACAAGGUCACCCUUACUGCCAGCUUGUACCUGUGGUAUCUUCCAGAACUUUCUGCCUUCACUACACUUGACCUCUAGCCUGAUCACACAGAUAAAGGGCAUUUGAUUCUUCCUUAGUACUUCUCAGAAACACAAACUUCUUACCUGCCCGAAUUCCUGCUGGAAGGGACCUGGUCGUCUAGUCUGUGAUUGUAGCUUAUGAAGGUAAAGAAACAGAACAGGGGUGAGUCAUUUUGGGUCCCAUUUCAGGAGGCAGCCUGGAGUAUAGUCUUUAUGGUCAGGCCUACUUGCCUAAGAUUUCUUUCUCCUGUUCUUUUACUGGUUUGACAUCCGAAUUCUUUUCUAAAGUCUGAUGAAUUACACCAAAGGAAUGACCUCUGCAAACCUUCCUUUCUGGCUCAAAGGCGGGCUGUUUCUAUAACCUGUAUGAUGAUUAGUAAGUGCAUUAGGGGCUGCCUUUCUUUCAUUUCAUGUAAUUUAGGAUUUUGAUAUGCGGAUUCUGCUUACGGGGAGGCCAUAUAUAGCUUUGUAAAACACAUUUGGAAGCAAAAAUGUUGGAAGCCUGGGCCCAUCCACAAGUCUGACUCUGACUGGUAGUUCUCUAAAUACCUAAAUUCCUACUGUAGUAUCUCUCUCUUUAAAACACACACACACACACACACACACACACACAACUAUUUGGCCCCACCAGGUCUUACGUGGGGCACACGGGACCUUCAAUCUUCACUGUGGCAUGCAUAAUCUCUUAGUUGUGGUUUGUGGGAUCUAGUUCCCUGAAAAGGGGUCAAACCUGGGCCCCUUGCAUUGAGAUCAAGGAGUCUCAGACACUGGACUACCAGGGAAGUCCCACCCACUUCUGUGUCUCUUGAUAACAGAUAUGACUGUAAUGGUGACAGGAAGCAAUUGCUGAUUGGUAAAUGGAGAAGUUAUCAUAAAAGGGAAAACAGAGUCUGGAGGUUUUAUUUGAGAUUGGCAUGAAACAGCUAACAGAGUGGUCUCAUGGUAUCAGUGGGCAAGAACUCAAGAAAGUAUCCCAAGCCUCCAGGAGUCAGGUUGGGCCCAGUCUUUUUUCCAUCAUUUCCCAGGACCUCAGGGAGGCCCUAGUGUGGGAGUGGUGGGGGUCCUGAUACCAGGAAUCAAGUCACAUCCUUUUGUAAAACAACCACCGAGGCAGAGGUUAAAGUCUAAUUCUCUUUAGGUUUCUCUUCACCAGGACUGCCAUACAUCCUAGCAGAAUAGCCAGCAAGGGAGAAAUGCUAUGGAGUCAUGUUAGUUAAGGGUGAUGGUAGCAGUGGAAGGUCAGGGGGUGGUUACCACAGAAGGAUUUGUAUGAAACUGAGCCCCUGGGGUUAGCGAUAAAACAGCAAGGUCAUGCAAUGGCAAUAUAUUAAAAUUCUCUUCUGGGCGAGGUGGGGCUAAUAAGAAUGUACUUUUAGAGAUUAUUUUGAAGUGUCUUUAUGUUUUCAGCUACUACUUUUGAUGUUAAUAAUGGAAACUAAAUAUAUCCUUCCUACAUAUGGCUUUCUUCUCUUAGUGCUUUCAGGUUCCUUCUUUAUUUGAAUUUUAUGAUAUACUUCUAAGGCAGGCAGUCUGAUUUUAUAUGAUUCCAUCUUGGCAUCAUUAAUGGAAAUCAUUAAGCUUUGAAGUGAGAUGGGCAAGUGUUUCAAAUUUUAGUUCCUUAUUUACUAGUUGUAUGUCCCUGACCUUGGCAAGCUAUCAGCCCUCUGAAACUCAACUGCAUUUGUUCACUCAGUCUGACUCCUUCUCAUAACUGCCUGAGAGGGUGCUCCAGAGGAUACAAGGAGAUAACCUCUGCAAAAUGCUGGCCACAAUGAGCAAUCAGUAAUUGCUAUUUCCCCUUGUGUGAGACGGCAAAUUCACCUUUGCCCUCUCACAUGCCAGCUGUCAUCAGACUGCACGGUUAGGUUUUUUGUUUUCUGUGUGCUGGCUCUGACACUAGAAUUGAGAUGCAUGAACACCAAAUGAUCACUAGAAACGCUUAAUGGCACUGAGUGUAAUAAAAACCACAAGCCCACUGAAUGUGAUGAAUUAGACUUCUAUUUGUACAGAUGACCUCCCUGAAUCCACAGACCAAAGUUCAUCAAGAUUACUGCGAUCACAUGGAGCCGCACGUUAAAGAGUACAAUCUCACCAAUUAAAAAUUUGUAGGGUGUACACACUGACAGUCUGUCAGCAUCCUGAUAACUUUUUAUUAAUGAGUGUCUCAGACUCAGGGCGCCCUCUCCAUUGUGUAUCUGGGAGAACCUUCCUGUCUUUGGUGUCAUGUAGCCCUAUUUACACACAUACCCGUUUACUCAUGUGGGGGAGAUGGCAGGCAAAGGGAUGCUUAUCAGCCUCUGCAGGAUGGAUGAUCUGCUCCUGGACUUCUGGGCCACAGCUCCUUUCUUGCCUCCUCUGUCUCUGCUCAGUGUCUUUUUCCAGUCCACUUUGCAGAACGUGUGUCCUCUACCAGUUCCCCAGGAUUCUGUCCUCAGUUCCCUUUCUUUUUUUUUAAUUUACUUUUAAAAAAUUCUAUUUAUUUUUAAUUGAAGAAUAAUUGCUUUACAGUAUUGUGUUGGCUUCUG
ensembl:lincRNA